AUCGAUCGCUCCGUGUCGACGAGCUGGGUCUACGUCGGGGCGUAGUCUCCGAGGAAUUCCCGGGUGGAGGGCUGGCCGGAACGCGGGAAAUAUUUAUGAUUUGACUCUUGAUUGAUCUUGCUCUUCGGGUAAGGGAAUCUGAUGAUGGACGAUUGCUUUAUGCCUUUUUGCAGAAAUCUGAUCCAGUUUUGGCCUCUAAUUCUGCUCCUCCGAGUGCUUCGACAAUUGAGGGUUUUAAGGCGGGUGCUUCCUUAGUUCAGGGUUUCGCUGUUCAUGAAAGGCCUGGUUUGAUUCCUUCUGAUCCGAGUAGUUUUGAUGCUAAUUGCUCUUCUAAGAAUCCUAUUUUCUGCAAUAUUGUUCCUUCGCAGAUUGGUGUUCUUGGACAAAAGAAAGAUCCUAAAUUUAGGGGUCUUCUUUGGUGAUUUGGUAAAGCUUAAUUCAGAAACCGGAUUCAGGAGUCAUAGUAUGGGGCUCAUAUUUGUUUUAAUUUAACAAGUACUUGUUAAAGUACUUUACUGAAAACGGCCAAACACUUUUUUACUGAAGCAUGUACAGCAGCUAAAAUUAGGUUUUCUUUUACAGUAUUUGUUAAAGUACCUUGAAGUCAGCAUGUCUUAAAUCAGUUCAGAUUUAAGAUUCAACAAGGACACUGUUUAUUAACAGAUCAUAUGUGAAUGGUUGACUUGUGGAUGCUAUUUCUGUAACUGUUUUGGGCAUCAAGAUAAAAAUAUUGUGGGAGAAGGCACAGAUUCAGGACGGAAUGAAAGAUCAAAGGCACACAGAAUUGGACAUGUUCUGAGGCUGUCAUUGGAAAUGAUGGUGUCGUUGCUGAGGAUCUGAUGAAUAAGGCAAUUGGCAAAGGCAUGCAGAACAAAAAUCUUCUGUGACUGUUACUGUGAAUGGUAGGAUUGCUUCUACAGAGUUAAUGAGCAAGCUAGUUGGAAAUGAUGGCACUUGGUGCCGGAAAAUAGAUUCUAGAUUGUCUGAUCCUAGUCUUCCAGCCUUGGAUGAAGUUAUUGAAUAUCAUACUUUUGAUCCUGGUGUUCAUGAAUCUUCUCAGUCUAAUUACUCCACGUUUGUUUUUCAACUGAAAACUAAUAGGCUACCUGAACUGAGUUUGACCUUUUGCUUCCUGAACUGUUGGAUCUAGUACAAUCAACAAAGCAAGAACCUGGGUAACAUAGUCCAUAAUGAAUGCUUUGAACUAAAUGCUCAUGUGACAUUUAUGAUAUUGCAACAUGGUUUAAGUUGGUGAUAUUUAUAUAAUUUGAUUUUAUCUGUUCUUAAAGUUUUACUCCAUUGUGUUGUUGUUAGCUUUGAGUAAUGUGUUUCUGGUGACAAUCUUCAAAGGGUUGAGCUUUCUGCUGUUUGUUUUUAUACUCUUCCUUUUCUCCAAAUAAUUUUCAAGACGUAAAGAUCUGGCAGGACUAACCUAUUUUUCUGUUUUUUUUUUCUUUUUUCAUGCAUAACCAUAUGCAUAUGAGGCUGGCUAGCUGCUAGUGAGGCCUGCAUUUUUCGAUUCAUGCUUCGACCUUACUUGAUCUAUUUCAUAAUACUUUGGUGGAUGUUUGUCCUGCUUAUUCCCUGAUUUUAGUACAAAAUAUAAUCCUGAAUUGUAUGUGAAUCCAAUCCUUGCCAGCAUCUGAUAUGUUUAUGUUACGUGUGAAGUUAGUAGGAAGAUACAUCAAUAUCGGAGGACUGUUUUAAUACAAAAUACAAUCAAAUUAGGGCCAGCUUGAGUUCAGAGUUGACUAGUUUCUCAGAGUCUUUGUUGAGUCAUAAUUGAAUCAAUUUUGGUCUUAAAGUUGUUCUUCGGCCUAUUAUGGGUCUGGUUUGUAUUUGCCAUUCACUGGUACCAUUCACACUAUGGUACUGCUACAGAAAGUGAAUAGUAAAUAUGUUUUCGUACUUUUAGUCAUAAUUUGGAAAUCAGUUGAUAGCAAAUUUGCUUAUCUUCUACUUUUAUUCAUAGGCUGAGAAUAUGCUUGUCAUAAAUUUAACUGAUUGUGGUCUUAAAGUUGUUCUUAGGUAUUAUAGCAGGUUUGUUUUAGCCAUUCUCUGGCACCAUUCACACGACAGUACUGCUACUCCAAGUGAAUAGUAAUCGGUGUACCAUAUAGUGAAUUCUGUGAAUUUUUGUUAAAGGAAGAUUUUGUCUGGCUGAGUAAUUUUCUCUCUAGUGUUGUGCCUCCUCUGCUCCCCCCUUCUCUUUUGUUGAUUUUUCUUGUUGCUCAGAUCCUCUUCUCUUUAAUAUCUGAUUCCCAAUUGACAUAUUGAAACCUGAUUUGUUAGAUUUGAUUCCUGAGAUUCUAUUACAUUUUUUUCUCUUGAAUUACUCAGCCUUCUGGAUAUUCGGUUAACCUACUUCACAUUUAACUUGCGUAAAUAUUCAACAUUGUUGAUCUUCCUAUUUGUCAGCAAUUUGUCUUUAUAUCAUGAUAAUCUCUCUCUAACUGCAUAGAGGAGCCGUUUCCUUGAAAAUGCAAACCUUAGUAAAGCACUAAACUUGAUGUUCGUGUUAUUGUUGUUGUUUUAUUCAGAUCAUGCCAUGUUUUCUAGAGAAUAUUGGCUUGAUUUCAAUCCUCCAAUAUGGUGUUAUGUUCUCCGAAGACAAAUAUAUGAACAAGGCAUACCAUUAAGUCAGCUAUCGUUUCUUGAGAAAGGUGAACCGUCAUGUUACAAGAUAGUUCCAGAAAGCAUUUUUCUAAAAAUGAAUUUGGUUCUAAAGACAUUACAUACUUCUCAAAUGCACUCAGUGUUAUAUUUUUUAGUUAGAUGUACAUGAAAUUAAGAUAAUAUAUUUCUCAUUCAGUGUGACUCCUACCUGCGAGGCGUUUAUUGUUAUAAAAUCAAUUUAUAUGGUGUAUUACUGUUGUGUGUGUGUGUGUGAGAGAGAGAGAGAGAGAGAGAGUUUUGAGCUAGAAGGCUCUUUAUUGGUAGCUUUCUGUCAUGAAAUUAUAUUUGCUAUGAUUUUAUGCACUAGAUUUGUUUAUUGUUCCUUUGGUUUUUACUCUAUGCAUUUGCUAAAAACGAUAGUUCGGUGCAUGAGACUCAUAUCAAUAAGAGUACAAAAUUGAUUUUGGUUGGGUGGUUUGAGAGCUGUAACAUCUUUUGAAGUGUUUUGUUUCAUUUGCAUAAUUUGUGCAACAUUUAUACACUCUUACAUCAAUAUCAACUUUUUAUUCAUACGAGUGUGUAGCUAUAUAUAUUAUUUCCAAUCAUAAAUUCACAUAAGAAUGUAUUACACUAGUACAUGCCGUGAAUUCAUAUAACUGCUGCUAGUGGAAUCAAGUCAUAUCCUCUUUUAUUGUAGUUUAACUUUUUCUGGAUGAUGGCAAUUCAUGUGUUAGUCAUGGAGCUCCAUUGUUUUUUAAGCCACUUAUGGAAACUUGUCAAUGAAGGCUAAUAAUUUUCUUGUUAUUUGUAAUAAGCUCUAUUGUUCAGGCAAAUUAGAAAUUACAAAUGACAUUUUGCAUUACUGAAGUUGACUAGACUUUUCUAUGCUUUUGUAAGUUUAGGCAACAAGUAUUCCCGUGGUUACCUUGUGUCCACUCGGAGUGGACACCUGUCGCUCACUUCUUUUAGCCUAUUAUGACACUUUAGAAUCUUAUUUGCUGCAGCAAGUGCCCUUUUUUCUCUUUGCUAAUUUUGCAAAAUAAGGUUCUAAACUAUGCUUCAAGGUAUGCUUUGCCGUGUUGUGUGCUUAAAACAUCAAUAAUAUGCUAUAUUCAUCUAGUAACUAAACAAAGGUCAUGGCCACUUGAGCUGUCACUUAGAAUCUCUUGGCCAAAUUUCAUGUCUAUCUUGCAGCCACUAUAUUAAACCACUUUCCCGUAAAUAAAGCUUCCCUUCCAUAAAUACCAAUCAUUCAAGUCUUUUACUUUUGCAAACUAACUUGGGACUGUAGCAGUUGUUUCUCUACAUCAAUUCACCGGAGUAAAGGUUCUGCCCUUUUAAACUGAAAUGAUGGUCGACAAUGUUGGUUUGAAGAUACAGCAUAAGGAAAGUUGGUGAAGUACACAUAAAACCAACGAGUAAUAAAUGUGUAUAUUUGGGUCAUACACAGGACCAGUUGUUUCCUUGUAUAUUUCACUCAUUACAUGAAGUCACCGGAUUAAAGUUUUUGUCAUUCUAAAUUGAAACGAAGAUGCAACACGAGGAAAUUUGGUGAACUCCACCUAAGACCAUCAAGUACUAAAUGUGUAAAUUUGGCUGGAAUUAUUUUCAAACCAGUGGUCAAGAGGAAGAAUUAAACUGGCCGAGCCUCUUCAAGACACAGUUCACAAGAGGGAAGAGAAAAAGAGAAGAAAGCUAGCAUCGCCCAAAAGAAAAAAGCUAAGACGAGGAGAACUGGAAGUUGGACCUGAUGUUUGAAUGACUACAGGUGAAGAGUGGUGUCCACAUCUGGUUCGUUGCCAGACACCGGGCGGUGUGAAGUCGUCUGAUUGGGCCACAAGCCCAUUGACAGUGAGAUCUCGAGGGCCUGCAAGUCUGUGUGAUCACCAUGGUCGUCGAGCCAACACGAUGGUGGAGGACCACGGAUAGGCCUGGAUGGACGAACUAGAUCGGGAUGGACGAACCACACGGGUUGGGCACACUGAGCAUUCGAGUUUGGCCUCUCCCCAUGAGAGAAUGCCCGCUGCUGUUCCCUUUCUUCUCUCAUUUCUUUGAGUCUCUGGAGCUGUCUGAAUCUCUCCUGCAACAGAGCAAUGGAGGUCGGCUUGUUGUUCUGCCUCCCCAUGAGUCAGUAGUGGACUCGGAAUGCCAAUUCGGAGCAGGUGGAGCUGAGGGAGGCUGAGGUCUACAGAUUGAUCCUACAUGAUGUGCUGGGGAGAGGAGAAUCCAGAGAGGGGAUGCAAAGUCCAAGAAGGAAAGGCUUUGUGGGCUAUCUAAGGAGUUAGGAUGGUGGAGGACGCGAGCAGGACCAGAGCCACUUUUCAAAGGCACAUAAAAGCGGGAGAGCAGUCCAAGGAUGCAUGGAGGUUAGCAUUUGGAUGCGAGCUUGCAGAGAAUAUAAGCAGAUCAAUGUGGCUGGACCCAGGAUCCAGAAUUGAAGUCAGUCGAAGCCAUGAAUAAAGGACUGGACCCUGGUUGAAAAGCUAGCACAACGUUGCUGUUGUGCAUCAGGUUCUUUGUAGUGCAUGCUUAGUCCUGGGAAUCUGAACCCAUAGCAGAUCCAAUGAGAAAAAGAAAAGUUCCAACUGAUGCCAUGAAAGGUAAUUUUACGAGUGCCAGAUGAACCGGGGCCACGAUCGGCUGCACACAUAUGGUUGUUGUUCUCCUCUGCCCGAUUCCUCCAUUUCGAGUUCAUCCCAGGGUUCAUGCGGAUGGUGCCACUACUUGCUGCAAGCUCAAACUUUGCAGCUGCAGGAGGAGGGUGGUUUGAAUUUGGUAAUGAUAUGGAAAUCAAUCAGCAUCACCAGGCCUGCUCUGCACUGCACUGCACUGCAUGCACUGCACUGCAAGAGGGUUUCUUCAUGCAUCUCCGUGACUGCUAAUCCAUUCAAUGUAUAUCACCAAAUCAAUACUCUGGUUUGUUGUUUUCAAUGAAUUUGAGUUGCUAGA